rnacentral:misc_RNA from 1 species
GAUGAAGAACGCAGCAAAAUGCGAUACUUGGUGUGAAUUGCAGAAUCCCGUGAACCAUCGAGUUUUUGAACGCAAGUUGCGCCCGAAGCCUUUUGGCCGAGGGCACGUCUGCCUGGGCGUCACGCAUCGCGUCGCCCCCCCACAAUUCUCCGUAAAGGGAACUUGUGUUUUGGGGGCGGAUAUUGGUCUCCCGUGCUCAUGGCGUGGUUGGCCGAAAUAGGAGUCCUUUCGAUGGACGCACGAACUAGUGGUGGUCGUAAAAACCCUCGUCUUUUGUUUCGUGCUGUUGCUCGCAAGGUAAACUCUUUAAACACCCCAAUGUGUCGUCUCUUGACGACGCUUCGACCGCGACCCCAGGUCAGGCGGGACUACCCGCUGAGUUUAAGCAUAUCAAUAAGCGGAGGA